UAGACGACCGGCGGCCAUGAUAAGCGUAUACAAAUCGCCUCCCGAACAAAGCUCCAUCACUUCACAAUAGUCACCCUUGCCGUCCUGGAUCAGGUCUAAUGUAUGAAUCACGUUUGGAUGUCGCAAUGAAGAAGAAAUACAAAACUCAGAUGUUAAGCGCUUUGUAUACUUCUUUUGAGACUCGGCAGGCUUUCGACGGAACUCCUUAACGGCAUACAAUGUCUCAGAGCCGGAGUUUUGAGGAUCAACUUUAUGUGCGAUUCUAACAACGCCAAAAGCGCCACGACCAAUAACCUCCUGACAGCGACCAUAUUUCUCUACAAAACUUGCAGAAACUUUAGCGGGAUCUUUUUUGUCAGCAAGCUUUUCUUGACCAUAUCCGUUGAUCCAUGAUUGAACAAGACUGAGUUGAUGCUGUGCAUCAGCAGCUUCUUUAGCUAUCCUCUCUUCCUCACGCUUUUUACUGUUACCGGCAAGGAAGUCUUUUAACAUCUUACCAAGCUUCUCUUGCCGACGAGCAGGCCUUAAUUGAUGCGUAUGACUUGCAUCGUCAUAAACAGUAAAGCGAGACCACUUCGCAGAGGAAGGAUUUGAAGUAGAUGAACUAUUAGCAGCACCACCUGUUUCACUACCACCUGUGCUAUUCGUUUCCUCAGUAUUUGCAACAGCUGCGCCUCGACCAGUUCGACUGUUUUGGCGAGAUACAGAGUUUUGUGAAAAAAUACGUUGAAGACGAGUGACUGGAUUUCUAGAUGGUGUUGCUGUAGUGGAAACAGGUGCUGGGCCGUUGGAAGGCGUAGAAGGAUUAGGAGAGGCAGCUACAGAUAGUACGUGAACGUUAGCUGCCGCUGGAUUAGAGACGACACCAGCUUUGUGAGGUGUAGUGGUAGCAGUUGAGUUUGCUCGGGAUACAGAAGCUGAAGGAGGAACGGACCCAGAGGGCAACUCUGCAUGGUGCGCUGCUGGAUUAGGAGAGACGGCUGCUGGUUUGUUUGAAGUAGAGCUAACAUGGCGAGAUGGGUUAUUGCUAGGAGGUGGCAUUGCAGUGGUUUGAUUAGGUUUGGAUGAAACGACAGGUUUAGAUAAGGGCUGCUGAGAUUGCAGGCUUACAUUGGAAGAAGAGGCCACUGCAUCUAUCGAUGCAGGAGUUUGCUGCACAGAGUUAAGGGAAGGACGGACAUUUUGUUUUAAAGCACUUGGAGAAGCAGCUUCUUUGCCAUUUGGAGUGCUUGGAGGUUGCUGAGAUGAUGGCGGAGGAGGUUCUGUCGUUUCACGAGCUUUAGGGGUUGACUUCAGCGACCCAAGCCCUAAGGAAGCAAAUUUGCUUGAAAUUUCGUGGAGUUUGUCUUUUUCACCCAUUUUUUAGCUGAUGAAAAAUUUUUUUCACCUAAAUAUGAAUGCACGACUCGUUUCGCGAACAAACUUGGGUUACGGAGGAUUCUCGGUUAGUCUCCUUUAAAAAUAGAGAUAUAAAUCUCUUAGAGACUAUUAAGAAAUAGAAUACAGGCAGUUUAGAGCCCUAAAAGCCGCCAACUACUGACUUUCUCUAUUUGCCAAUACUUUUCGGUAUGUUGCUAACGGAUGACCCCAUUCACCCAACCUUCUCACUAAAGCCUUCUGCUUAAUACACUGCAACGAACCCUUUAAUAUGAGAAUUACAGCCACGUUAAUAGGUAACUCUGUUGAGGAACGUAGCCACAACCUUAUUAAGAUGUCAACGGAAGAUGCGUUAUUAUGAGCAAACGUUGGGGGCUACGAGAUAAAAGAAUACAAUCGUCAGCUUUGCUAUCAAAGAUAAAGAGUGGAAGUGCA
rnacentral:lncRNA from 1 species